CAAGGAAGUACCUUGUCAAGUCAUAUCAACUAGAAGAGGGACCAAACCCACAACUUCUGACUCCUAGGCUGAUGGCCUUCCCAUUUCACCAUGCUGCUGUACACACCUUCCUCCCCGCCCCCACCCCUGCUUUUCUCUGCAUCCUUUGUGAUCCUAGGGAAGCUGUGGCGAAGGAUGUCUUCUGUUCCUUCUCUUCCCUGCUUUCCUUUUCUUCUGCUUAGGCAUUCCUUAUCACCUCUAGGUAUUCAGUGUCUUCUUCUUACACCCUAGGUGCCCAGGACCUCUUCUUCCCUUUUCUGCUUUUUUUCCAGCACAUUCCUACUCUUUCUACCCCCAAGCAGCUCCAAACACAAGGAUCAAAAACUACAGGAAUCAGAAAGAUUGCUGGAAAUGAGGCAAUUGGGCUGGACUUAGGAAACAAUUGGGUUCAUGUAAAAACUUGUUCACCAAUGUUCAUAGAAGCAUUAUUCACAAUAGCCAAACAGUAGAAGUAAACUAGAUGGCAAACAACUGACGAAUGGGUAAACAAAAUGUGGUAUAUCCAUAUAAUGGAAUAUUAUUCAGCCAUUAAAAUGAAUCACAUAUGAUCCAUGCUACGACUUGGAUGAACCUUGAAAAUGUAAUGCUGAGUGAAAGAAGCCAGACACAAAGUGCUAAAUGUUGUAUGAUUCCACUUAUAUGCUAUGCCCAGAAUAGGCAAAUCCAUGCAGACAGAAAGUAGAUUAGUGGUUUCAGGAACAGCAGGCGGAGAGAUAGGGGAAUGACAGCUAAUGAAUGUGUGGUUUCUUUCUAAAAUGAUGAAAAUGGUCUGGCAUUAGACACUGGUGAUAGUUGCACAACCAAGUGAAUACGCUAAAACCACUGAAUUACAUACUUGAACAGGGUGAAUUUUAUGGUAUAUGAGUUAUAACUCAAUUAAAAUAAAAAGAAACAAGUGUAAGUAAAAGAGACUACAUUAAUCUUGUCCCCUUUAAAGACAGCAGCUCCGAUUCAGCCUCAGCUAAUUACAGUGGAAGAAUGUGGUCCCAGUCUUGAAAUAUUUUCAGUGUUUUGAAGAGAAGUUGAAAAUCAAAAAUUUUGGUAAAGUCUUUUUAUUUUUAUAAUUUAGAAAAUAAUUCAGAAAACUAAAUUAUUUGCAGUCCAUAUAAUCUUGGACCUACAAAGACCACUAGCCACCAUUUUGUCACCUCUACCAUCAUGGAUGGUUGAGUUUUCAUACUCCAUCCAACAAAAUAAAAGUGCUGUAGUUAUUGAAAAAGCAACUACCUAUUGUUCCUCUAACAAGCUCUCAGGAUCUCUGAUCAAUGACGAGAAGGUGGAUAUACCCUUCCUAGUCACUGUGCAAGCACAGCAUAUUUUCUCCCUGAAGACCAGCCCCAGACCCCACCUCCUCUGAUCUUCUCACUUCAUAUUUAAUGAAUAAUUUUUUCAGUGUCAACUAGGUACCAGACACUCUUCUAGGUGCUACAGAAAAAAACAAAUGAAUAAGUCAAGGUCCCUACUUUUAAGGAAUUCAGUCAAACGAAGACAGACAGAUUUGUAAACAAAUCAAGGUAAUACAAGACAGAAUUAAACCAGAGCCUGAUAGCAGUACAAACAGUGUACUAUGGGGAACACAGACAAAGCAGCUAUUAAUUCUGCCUGAAAAUAUCAGGGAAGGCAUUGCAGAAGAGAUGGCAUUUGGCUGAGCCAUGAGGGUAGUUAAGUUAACCAGGUGGAAAAAAAGAAAGAGAGAGAAAGAACAAAAUAAAGGAGAGAAGAAAGAAGGAAUUAAAUAGAUGGAAUUAAAUUGAGAGCAUGAUAAAGAAAUGAGGCAGAAACUGGAAGAGUGGAUUUCACCCUCCCUUAGGCCCACAAUAGGCCUUACACAGUCUUCUUAUGGCCUCUAUGAUGUUGGGUGAGAAAAACUUGCUUACAUGAUUCUCUCACACUGAAAUGUGAGUUCCAUGAAGGGAAGGAUCAUGUUUUAUUCAUCUCGAUGUCAUCAAUAUCCUAGCCACAAGACUGAUACAUAGUAAGUGCUCAGUAAAAGUUGGUAAAAUGAGUGAAUUUGUGAAACAACAAUCAAAACAGUGAGACUAGGGCAUGUAUGGGGAAAGAAAAAACAAUCCAUUUUGGCUAGAGAUAAGGAACACAAAAGGGCUAUAGUGGAAAUGGAGGUUGGAAAAGCAGAUUAGAGGUCAAAUCAGGUAAUAUGUAGAAUCACAGGCAUUCAAUUUGGUGUUAGAAGGCCUUUUUAGGCUGGGUGCAGUGGCUCACACCUAUAAUCCCAGCACUUUGGGAGGCUGAGGCAGGUAGAUCACCUGAGCUCAGGAGUUCAAGACCAGCCUAGGCAACAUGGCGAAACCCCAUCUUUACUAAAAAUACCAAAAUUGGGUGGGCAUGGUGGUGCACGCCUGUAAUCCCAGCUACUCGGGAAGCUGAGGCAGGAGAAUCGCUUGAACCCAGGAGACAGAGAAUCGAGCCACCACACUCCAGCCUAGGCGACAAAGUGAGACUCCGUCUC
rnacentral:lncRNA from 10 species